UGAACGCUGGCGGCGUGCCUAAUACAUGCAAGUCGAGCGAACGGACGAGAAGCUUGCUUCUCUGAUGUUAGCGGCGGACGGGUGAGUAACACGUGGAUAACCUACCUAUAAGACUGGGAUAACUUCGGGAAACCGGAGCUAAUACCGGAUAAUAUUUUGAACCGCAUGGUUCAAAAGUGAAAGACGGUCUUGCUGUCACUUAUAGAUGGAUCCGCGCUGCAUUAGCUAGUUGGUAAGGUAACGGCUUACCAAGGCAACGAUGCAUAGCCGACCUGAGAGGGUGAUCGGCCACACUGGAACUGAGACACGGUCCAGACUCCUACGGGAGGCAGCAGUAGGGAAUCUUCCGCAAUGGGCGAAAGCCUGACGGAGCAACGCCGCGUGAGCGAUGAAGGUCUUCGGAUCGUAAAACUCUGUUAUUAGGGAAGAACAUAUGUGUAAGUAACUGUGCACAUCUUGACGGUACCUAAUCAGAAAGCCACGGCUAACUACGUG
rnacentral:rRNA from 1 species